rnacentral:tRNA from 1 species
GCACCACUAGCUCAGUUGGUAGAGCAUCUGACUCUUAAUCAGGUGGUCCAGAGUUCGAGUCUCUGGUGGUGCACCA